UACGUAGGGCGCAAGCGUUGUCCGGAAUUAUUGGGCGUAAAGAGCUCGUAGGCGGCUUGUCACGUCGGGUGUGAAAGCCCCGGGGCUUAACCCCGGGUCUGCAUUCGAUACGGGCUAGCUAGAGUGUGGUAGGGGGAGAUCGGAAUUCCUGGUGUAGCGGUGAAAUGCGCAGAUAUCAGGAGGAACACCGGUGGCGAAGGCGGAUCUCUGGGCCAUUACUGACGCUGAGGAGCGAAAGCGUGGGGAGCGAACAGG
rnacentral:rRNA from 1 species